AUUGAACGCUGGCGGCAUGCCUUACACAUGCAAGUCGAACGGUAACAGGUCUUCGGAUGCUGACGAGUGGCGAACGGGUGAGUAAUACAUCGGAACGUGCCCAGACGUGGGGGAUAACGAGGCGAAAGCUUUGCUAAUACCGCAUUCGAUCUAAGGAUGAAAGCAGGGGACCGCAAGGCCUUGUGCGUUUGGAGCGGCCGAUGGCAGAUUAGGUAGUUGGUGGGAUAAAAGCUUACCAAGCCGACGAUCUGUAGCUGGUCUGAGAGGACGACCAGCCACACUGGGACUGAGACACGGCCCAGACUCCUACGGGAGGCAGCAGUGGGGAAUUUUGGACAAUGGGCGAAAGCCUGAUCCAGCAAUGCCGCGUGCAGGAUGAAGGCCUUCGGGUUGUAAACUGCUUUUGUACGGAACGAAAAGGCUCUGGCUAAUACCUGGGGCACAUGACGGUACCGUAAGAAUAAGCACCGGCUAACUACGUG
rnacentral:rRNA from 1 species